UGGUGGAUCACACGCUGGGUCUGGGUUAAGUCCACAAAGAACUCUUACUGGCCGGAGACCUUCCACUUCUCACCUUCAGGAAGCCAACUGCCCAGUAAGAAGUAAGACUACAUCCUGAGCCAAGCCCACGUCACAUGCAGAGGCCCUCGAGGAAGGGACGCUGUUCAAGCUAGGCCCAGGAAUCCUGGGCGCAGCAAUGGGAGUAAGCCAAGCAGCCAGGAAAAUGGCUUUUCCCCUCUCACUGCCCAAAGGAACUCCGUGUGAGUCAAAGAAGAAGUGCCCGGACCUGUCCUUCCUGAGUCACACUUCAGGCACUGGAUGUAACGGCUGUGGGAAGCCACUCAGCUUAAAGGACUGUCAGUUAUGAAGCAACGGGCAACUGGAACAAAGAUGGGAGAAACGGGUGGGCCAGGAGGAGCAGCGGAGCGCGGUGAUGGAAGUGGGAAGUGGAUGAGGGGUACUGCCAUCCGGAGAGGUGAGGCCUUGAGGCCGGGAAAGCUGAGCAAAUGUGUGUCACCACACAGCUGCCACAGGCCCGGACUUUAAAUCCAGACUGGGCACUCUCCACCACCACAGAUAACAGCCAUCCGGAGCAAUAGAGUCACCGACUUUUGGAACAGGAAGGGGUCCUUAUCUCAUAAAAACUCAAGUCUUUCGAAGCUGGGCCAAUUAGAGGAUGAGAAGGAAAUUCUAUAUCUGGGUCUGCUAAGCCAUGCUCUAAAUACUGGAUGGAGGACCUAGCAAUAAGAAUACUUGCCUGUGUGCCAAGAGCUCCUGGACUGAUGCAGCACCACCUUGGAACAGAAGUAAAACCAGAGAUCUAGUUACACCAUCCCACUUGGGGGGUCUGGGGAAGGCAAGCCCUUUAUUGAUUGGUGUCUUUUUUUAAAAGCAACCUGUAUUAUCUGUAUAAAACAAUGUGAUAGACACUUUCCUGGAAACAGAACACAAGAGUAGAAUCCUAAGUAAAAGGCCAAAUGCAGAGAAUAAACAGAAGCCAGACUGGUGAAUGGAUGGGGAGUUUCCACGACCAAGAAAACUCUCAUAAGGACAACAUUUCAUUGGGGCUGGCUUACAGGUUCAGAGAUUCAGUCCAUUAUCAUCAAGGCAGGAGCAUCAUGGCAGCAUCCAGGCAGGCAUGGUGUGGGAGGAGUGGAAUCUUGUUCCGAUGGCAAACAGAAGACGGGCUCCCACAGGGCUAGGAGGAAGGUCUCAAAGCCCACUCCCACAGCGACACACUUCCUCUAACAAGGCCACACCUCCUAAGAGUGCCACUCCCUGGGCCAAGCACACUGGGAGACAUGAAAAGAUAGAGUGUGGCUCAUUACAUUUCAGUUUGGAAAAAUCCAUUUGGCAUUAAGACUGCUAUUUGCAAUAAUCCAGGGAGUUAACAGCUUAGAGCUAGGUGGUGCCUGUGUGGAGAGAGGUAUGGGUAAAUUUUUUUAAGGGGGUAAUUCUGUCAGAACAUGUGAAUGAAGCAAUGUGGAGACCAAGAGCAAGAAGAAGUGGAACAAUUAGAUCAGCAGCAGCUUGCGAAGUGACAGAAGUGAAGAUCUGGGUAUUGUUGACAUCAGGGGGAUUUUGAAGGCAUGGGUCUAUAUUAGCGCACCCAAACCCACCUGACAAGACAUAUAAAGAAGAAGAGCAAUGGGCCAGAAGCAAACACAGACAGACAGACAGAAGAAAAUAAGCCAAAGGAAAGCCCUGCCCCCGAGGUGCAGCUUUCCCACAGCAGGUACAUACCAGUUCCACAAUAAACUGCUCUCCAUCCAUACGAGAGCAGACACAGUGAUCCUCUGGGAUUGUCAAUCUGACAUUUCCCUGUCUGUGUGAGGAAACUGAACCACUUUACAGGUAGCCAUGUGUGGAAGCACAUAUAAAGAAGUAUAUAACCAUCUUAAUUGCAGAGAAAUAUUUUUCUUCAUUCACACACACACACACACACACACACACACACACUUUCAUUACCUCUCAUCUUAACUGCAGAGAAAUGUUUUUCUUCAUACACACACACACACACACACACACACACACAUGCGCGCACGCACAAUUUCAUUACCUCUCAAGUGUGAAGUCCUUUAAGCUAUUUCUUCUCUUUGUAAACACUUAAGUAUGAAAUUUCCCUUAAAAAUACU